UUUAAUAACAUUUUUCCCUUUGUUCUGUAAUUAAAUGUAUAUAACUAUUCUUUAUUCUGUCUAUCAAUUAGGUAGGUAUCCACAGUGUACUUUAGAAUUACUUGUGGGUUUGACUAAGAAUAUUACCAUUAUUCAUAGUCCUUCUUCUCUUCUUUCUUCCUUCCUUUUUUUCUAAAUCUUUCUUCUUUCCUUUCAUCUUCAUUGAGCACCAAGAAUAUGCCAAAGUGCUAAGAUAUAGUGAUGAAUAAGACAGUCUUAUUCCCAAUCAUAGAAUUUGUAGUUGAGUAAGAAAUACAAAUAAGUCAAUAUGCUUUUUUAGUGUAGUGUGAUGAGUGAUUCUGUGACAGAAGUACAACACACUUAAGUUUAGAUAGAAAAUAUGCUCAAUCAACAUUUGAUAGACCAAGAAAGGAUUCCUAAUAGAUGUGAUUGAGACCUGAAGGAUAAGCCAAGGAUGGAGGGGCAGGCACCAGAAUUAUAGUAGGAAGGGAUAGCUAAAUAUUCCAGGCAUAGAGAUUAUACAAAGGUCCAGAGAUAGUAAAGAGAGAGAGAGAGAGAUCUUUAAAGAAUCUCUUUCUUAGUAACACAGUAUGUCUAGAGUUCAAUUACAAGUAAAGGAAUAGAGAGAGAUGAGGCUGAAGAGGCAAGUAGGAGCUGGAUCAUGCAGACCUAUUUGCUAUUUUAAGGAAUUAGACUUUAUCAUGAAAGUACUGAGAAACCAAUGAAAGGUUUUAACAGUGACAUGAUCAAAAUUGUAUUUUAUAAAGGUCACUCUGACUGCAAUGUAGAAAAGGGAUUAAAGGAUGAUAGAAUAGGAACAAAGGGACUCAUUAGGUGGUUUUUACAAUAAUCUAAGCAAAAUAAUGGCCUAGUUUAGGGUAGUGGCAAUAGCAAUGAAGAGAAGUGACUAGGUUAAAUUAUUUUUCAGAGGUAGAAUCGCUACCUUGCUACUUCAUUGGUUAUAAGAGACAAAGUAGAA